CGUGUAGGCGGGAAAGUAAGUCAGAUGUGAAAGCCCAGAGCUUAACUUUGGGAUUGCAUCUGAAACUACUUUUCUUGAGUACUGGAGAGGGAAGCGGAAUUCCUAGUGUAGCGGUGAAAUGCGUAGAUAUUAGGAGGAACCCCAGUGGCGAAGGCGGCUUCCUGGACAGAGAAUGACGCUGAGACGCGAAAGCGUGGGGAGCAAACAGGAUUAGAUACCCUGGUAGUCC
rnacentral:rRNA from 1 species